rnacentral:rRNA from 7 species
UUGACCUCGGAUCAGGUAGGGAUACCCGCUGAACUUAAGCAUAUCAAUAAGCGGGAGGAA